UACGGGAGGCAGCAGUGAGGAAUAUUGGUCAAUGGGCGAGAGCCUGAACCAGCCAAGUAGCGUGAAGGAAGACUGCCCUAUGGGUUGUAAACUUCUUUUAUAGGGGAAUAAAGUGCGUCACGUGUGGCGUUUUGUAUGUACCCUAUGAAUAAGCAUCGGCUAAUUCCGUGCCAGCAGCCGCGGUAAU
rnacentral:rRNA from 1 species